GAUGGGACGCUGGGACAGGGCCAUGCUGUGAAGACCAGGGAAAGAGCCCGAAGUGAACACAAAGACAGAGGGAAUUCACAACCUGUGACAUCUGGGCUCCACGUUCUGAAUCCAUUACCACAAACCUUAACAGAGGGGAGUCCCCCUCAGGCAGGUGGAAAACCCUUACCUUCAAGGCAAGGGCACUUGGGACCAAGACGGCCUCUCUCCCCGUCUCUGUCUCUGUCUCUGUCUCUAAAGGAGUGAAGGAAAAUCACCUUUUUUCCUUCCACACUCCCAUCUCGGGUCCCUCACCCUUAUUCCACAUAAAUUCCAUUUGACAACCCUGCUAAUUGGAUAAGAACUCCUAUCCUCCUAGGAGGCUGUUCGCUUUUCUUUUCUCUUACUUUUUCUUUUUCUCUUUUUGUUUUUGGAGGGCUCAAAACAGGGUGAUUGUGCCGUUCUUUAACAGGAAUUCCAUCUGCUUUAUCUCUCUCUCUCUCCAUUCAGCGCUCCUUCUGAAUAUUUAUGAAGCCUUCCCUCCAGCCCCACUCCUUACAGCCCCACCUCCACUCUCCUACCUCUCUCCCCACACUGCUCCGGCCUCCUCCCCUUCUCUCAGGGCCGGGACAAAAACCUUCCAACUCCCCCCACCCUCCUUGCUUUAGAUAAACACAGGCAGUGUCAAGUGUGAGGAGAAACGGGGGAAGGGAGGGGGGUUCAACUGCCAGUCAAGCCCCUGGCCUUCCAUGCGGCCUGGGGGCCUACCCUAAUCUGCUGCAUGCUUGCCAUAUGGGGGCUGUGUUGCCCCGGGAGACACUAACAGGCAGAACGGAGCUUAAUAGAGUCCAUAUUCAUUGUGAUGCAGUGAGGUAGCUCAAGGCGCCGAUGCCCCUUCGCCGCUUUCAUUCUUCUGUUUCUCUCUUUCUUUCUGGUUUUCUUCCCUUUUUCUUCCUUUCCAAAAAAAAAAAAAAAAAAAAAAAAAGGGUCCUGGUCUCCAGAGAGCUCUAAUGUGAAGAGUCCUGGGAUGCUGGAAAGGCUGGACCUAAGGUUAGGAGUGAGGAAGAGGAUGGUGCGGGGGCCGGGAAGAGGCGCAGUGCGAACACAUCAGGGGAGCAAAUGUUACCUAAGCCUGGGACUGCACACAGGAAGGACGGGGCUGGACGGUGAGUGGGUAGGAUUUAGAAUUUAUUCUCACACCCUGCCUAGGUUAUCCCAUCAUUCCCUCCCCCUACCUCCUGGCCAUCUCAGGGUCAACUAUACUCAUUAAAACCAAUGGCACCACGUCGCCGGGGCGCCAGGUCCUUGACCACUUCCAAGCCCAUCAUAGUUCCCUUGAAAGACUCAGGUGGGGGAAGGGUCAGAGGCCUCUUAAGAAUGGACUCCUUGCUGAGAGAGAAGUCCCACUGGCCAACUCUGGUUGGUCCAUGUCCUCCUCUGAUCAGGAGGUGAUGAUAGUUCUGAACUGUCAAGGUCCAACAGUCUUCUCCCUGAGCAAGUGGGCGGUCCUUGGCCCAGGUGGCUCCACUACCACAGCCCAGAGCUCCUAGAGAUAAGGGGGGGGGGGGGUCGGAGGGGGGACAUAAAUGGAAGGAGGGAAAUUGUGUUCUCCUAAUUUUCCUUCUCAACACAGUUAAGUUGGAAGUUAUGCUUAACUACCACAGGCAGUGUUUUUAUUUAUGUUUUUUUUUUCUGGUAUUAAAAAUUCAGGUGAAAAUAAUUUUAACAAAGUUGCUUAGCAGUAUAUCCAAAAUAUUAUCGUUUCAAUACACGGUGCUUAUCUGUAUUGACAACUGGCCGCUGCACUGGAAUGGUCCCUGGUUCUUUCUUUGAAGCAUCUUUUUUAGCCAGCAUUUCAUUAUACAUCCAAAGGUGGUUCCAACCAAGUGGUCCUCCUGCCUCAGCCUCUUGGGUGCUGAGAUCGCAAGCACAUGAUACCACGACUCUUUUGCACUGUCUUCCCCCCACCUUCUAGACUAUCAAGUGCAACCAAACAGGUGAAGAUUCCAAUCCCAGCCUUGGAUGGUGGUGCAUCCCUUUGAUGUCUUCUCUUGGGUGGCAGAGGCAGGCAGAUCUCUGUGAGUUUGACGCCAGCCCGAGAUCGACACAAGUGAGUUCUAGGACAGCCAAAGCUGGAUGGUGAAACCCAAGCUCCAAAACCAAAACCAGAAGUUACAGUAACAGCAGCCACUGUUCAACACGCAAGCAUCUUCCAGCGUCCACAGCUGGGUUCCUUGGACACUCCACAGUGUCAUGGGAGGUGGGUGUGUGACCAGCCUGGUGAGGACUUAUUUGGUGUCGAUUAAAUAUCUUGUCCAUGAUCACACACACAAGGUAAACCUCAGAGUCAGGGCUUGAACCCUUGGUUGUCCUUACUCUUCUGAAGCUUCUUGUAGGGAGCUGGGGCUUAAUAACGCAGGCGAUUUUGGUGUGGAUUUAGCAAUUAAUAGAAUAAUUACGAAGAUCAAGUAGCCACAUGAAGAUAAUUGUUCCUAAGAGGGGAAAAUAAUGCAGGUCCGGCUUUAUAAAGCAAAGUGAGCAUGGGAUGAGGCGGGGCUGGCGCAUAGGAAAUCGGGGCGACUUGAGUGUGAGGAAUUAGGAGUGAUGUUUUUAACCCUUUGAGUUCAGUUUCAAAAAGAAAGGAAAAAGGAAAUGGGUGCGCAUAGGCACUUUGAUAGCGCCCCAAUUGAGAGCGAUUAGCUGAGGUUCAAAGGCGCGCAGCCUCCCAGGGUCUUUACACUUGGCCUGCAGCCAACCUUUCCCGUGACUUCCUCCCACUCGCUCUAAUCUCAGCAAAUUGCGUUUCACCUUCUGAUCCUUCUGCCUGAAGCCCAGUCCCCCUUUUACUUCAUCCUGGAGGGACAACUCACCGUCGAGCGCCUCUUCCUUCUUAAACCCUCCUCCAACUGUCCUUCAUCCUACCUUCUGGAACACUUGCACACCUGAUACACUCCGUGGUGAUUCACAGCUCCUGAUGCAGACGCCAAAAUCCCAGAGGACAGGGUGUGCAAAUGCAUCUUAGCAUCCCCUGGCACUUCCCAAGGCCAUACUCGAUGUUUGCUGAAUGGAGCGGUUUGGUCCAGUUCUCACAAGUCUCCGCUCGCUCGCCUGGAGGACAUCUGAGGGAUUCAAAUGAAGAACUAAGUCUAAGGGUGAACCGGCCAAGCUAUGGAAGGCACCAAAUCUUGAACUUAACAGCACUGAGCCAGGGAUGGUGGACCUCUCCCUUGGGAACCAGUUUGGUACGAACGACAAAUCUAUCUCAUACUGCGAUGUGGGAGGAAAUACAGAUUGUACUAGAAAAGCCUCCUGAAUAAAGGAAGUGCAAAUUAG